UCCAAAUAUUAAAUGUCCUCUAAAAAAUGUUCAAUAGACCACUUCUUUCAUUAGCUCAAACGUCCCGUAAAAAAAAUUAAAAAAUGCUCCUCUCAGGUUGUAAUUCCUGACUGACCGCACUCAUAAUUCAUAUUAGCAAGGAUCGAGAAGACUUACAAAACGAUAUGUCCAGGGGUUUGGACCCAAACUGUUCUUACACCGGGCUGAAACAUAAUUAGCAGGACCAUCAAUCAUAAUUCAACAACAAAAACCAACAAUCAAUAAAAUAACUCUUACAAAAGAAAAUAGUCUCUCUCUUUACUGUUUGUUGAUUGGUGGAUUGAUUUCUCAUCUCAAGUAUCAAAACCUCACUGAUAUCACUUUGGUUCUGAUUUUGAAUAUGAGAUGGAAAAAUCCAUUGAUUGUUUCAUGUAACUCUGAUUUGGUUCAUGGUAGAUAGAUAUGGAGGAUUAAGUCCCAACCUUUUUGAAUCCUGAUCAACCAAAAUCUGUUCAAAUUUUGCUGAUUGAUGAGAAAGUAUUUUCAGGCUUUUAAAACUUUGCAUAUGACAGGUGGAGCAGUUCCUAAAAGCAUUCAAGUUGAAGAAUAUUUAUUUUGGUGUAUUUUUGUCAACUUAUGAAUUUAUAGGUAUAAAAUGACAUGUUUAAUUCCUCAUACUACAAACAAAAAUAAGAUUCCAAUUAUGAAUUUCAGAAGUCUACUGGACCAUCAUCGCAACGAAUGCAAUGAGACUUUGGGAUGAUGGGUUUGAUCUAGCCUCUCAACUAAGAACUGUUGGAACUCUUUACGCUCGGUAGCAACAACUUUGAAGCGUGUCAACUUAGGCAACAUCUCUCAUAACAUACUUCACUUGACAAUCAAUAGGUUUAAAAAGGAAAUGGAGGGAAGUUGACAUGAAUAAACAACAAAGGUCAUGUAGGGUAAUGGAUUGGUAAUGGACACAACGCUCGAGAAAAUUUUGUAUUGAUAAUGGAUUUGCUGAUGGAGUGGUUUGUGAUGUUUAGUAUUGUUCUACUUAAAAACAAAAAGAGUGUGUUGAUUUCGGUUUGAUCUGUUAUCUUCGUAUUCAUAUCUUUUGAUUGGUAGGAAGGCUACUUGGUUGUAAUUUUAUCUUAUGGCAUAUGUAGUUUCUGUUUAAUUUAUUGUUUUAAUCGUAUUCUUGAAUCCCGUUGUAUUACGUUUCCUCAAUAUUAUUGUAUACCGUUUUAUUCAAAA